rnacentral:misc_RNA from 1 species
AAGUGAUUAGUGCCUCUGCAAACUUGAGGACAUUGUUGGGUUCACAUCAACCUUGUACAUCCUACAUAUGCAUAAAACAUUGUUUGAAGCAAUUCACAAGCAAAAAGCAACCUGAGAGGCACCAAGUGUCAUAUUCCAUCCAGUAUCCAUUCGUUGAACACAGCAUUCGAGCUACUUCCCGCACAAAAGUGUGCUUGAUACUUGCUGAAGGUGAAACUAGC